rnacentral:lncRNA from 1 species
ACUAGACUAGAGUUUCUUUAACUAUUGGUAAGGAGACAUAUUAAAAGGGGUUUUCAUGAGAUUAAAGAUUUGUUGGGUCCAACGCCCUAAUUAGCAAUGAAUGAUUAUCUUUCGUUUCUAAUGGCUCAAUGACAAAAAUGUUUUAAUUGGAUUGAAAGUGCGUAAUUAAAACGAUACAUUCCUCCCUAGAUCUUAUUCAACAAUGUUGGCUCGUUGUUGAAUCAACCAAAUAAGUCCAUAGUCAUCCAAAGAGCCUAAGAUAACUAUAAAGUCCAAAUUAGUAGUAGUUACUUCCAAUAUUUGAAAAUUUCGUUUUUGAUAUAGAUUUGUUUUUCUCAAAAAAAAUAGUGGGAGUAUCAUACGCUACUAAACUAAAAUGAACACAAUUAGUAGUGAUAUAUAUCUCCAAUAUUUUGAAAAAUUGUUUUGAUAUUGAUUUGUUUUGCGAAAACGAAUAGUGGAGAUAUCAUAUGCUACUAAUUUCAUUUACUUUGGACUAGUAGUUGUAAUAGGACACAAUUUAUUAUAAUUUGAUUAAAUAAAUAAAAUGAUGAGACCUUAAAAUCCCUCAACCAACAUCCAAUAUUAAAUUGAAAGCGGAGAGGUGCUUUUGAACACUUCUUCGUGGCCUUCCACCAUGGUAGGCUCCAAUCGUUUAUGACUCAUACACCGCCUUCACCCUAUCAUGGGGGAGUUCAAAGUAUGUGCUUAUACUCAAGAGCAGUCUAUUUCAAACAUUUGAUAUGGCGAAGGUAGGCAAUGAGUAUGGCCGACAUCGUAUCAUCGUGAGGUCAUACUUGGACCCCUAUCCGAACCGGCAUGGUGGGUCAAAACUUAACUAAGAGAAA